AUUGAACGCUGGCGGCAGGCCUAACACAUGCAAGUCGAACGAGAGGCGGAGGGGUGAGGAAUGUCUGGGAAAAUGGCCGAUGGAGGGGGAUAAGUACUGGAAACGGUAGCACAUACCGCAUACCAUCGGAUGUGCUCACAGGGGAUUAGCUAGUAGGUGGGGUAACGGCUCACCUAGGCGACGAUCCUUAGCUGGGCUGAGAGGAUGACCCGCCACACUGGAACUGAGACACGGUCCAGACUCCUACGGGAGGCAGCAGUGGGGAAUAUUGCACAAUGGGCGCAAGCCUGAUGCAGCCAUGCCGCGUGUAUGAAGAAGGCCUUAGGGUUGUAAAAUACUUUCAGCGGAGAAGCGUUACUCGCACAAGAAGCACCGGCUAACUCCGUGCCAGCAGCCGCGGUAAUAC
rnacentral:rRNA from 1 species